GAUGAACGCUGGCGGCGUGCCUAAUACAUGCAAGUCGAGCGAACAGACGAGGAGCUUGCUCCUCUGACGUUAGCGGCGGACGGGUGAGUAACACGUGGAUAACCUACCUAUAAGACUGGGAUAACUUCGGGAAACCGGAGCUAAUACCGGAUAAUAUAUUGAACCGCAUGGUUCAAUAGUGAAAGACGGUUUUGCUGGCACUUAUAGAGGGAUCCGCGCCGCAUUAGCUAGUUGGUAAGGUAACGGCUUACCAAGGCAACGAUGCGUAGCCGACCUGAGAGGGUGAUCGGCCACACUGGAACUGAGCCACGGUCCAUACUCCUGCGGGAGGCAGCAGUAGGCAAUCUUCCGCAAUGGUCGAAAGCCUUACGGAGCAACGCCGCGUGAGUGAUGAAGGCCCUCGGAUCGUAAAACUCGGUUAUUAGGUAAGAACAAAUGUGUAAGUAACUAUGCACGUCUUGACGGUACCUAAUCAGAAAGCCCCGGCUAACUACGUG
rnacentral:rRNA from 1 species